CAGUCGCCGCGGUAAUACAGAGGGUGCGAGCGUUAAUCGGAUUUACUGGGCGUAAAGCGUGCGUAGGCGGCUUUUUAAGUCGGAUGUGAAAUCCCUGAGCUUAACUUAGGAAUUGCAUUCGAUACUGGGAAGCUAGAGUAUGGGAGAGGAUGGUAGAAUUCCAGGUGUAGCGGUGAAAUGCGUAGAGAUCUCGAGGAAUACCGAUGGCGAAGGCAGCCAUCUGGCCUAAUACUGACGCUGAGGUACGAAAGCAUGGGGAGCAAACAGGAUUAGAUACCCGCGUAGUCCCUGUCUCUUAUAC
rnacentral:rRNA from 1 species